GAUGAACGCUAGCGACAGGCUUAACACAUGCAAGUCGGAGGGGCAGCAAUAAAAGUAGCAAUUACUUUGGUGGCGACCGGCGCACGGGUGAGUAACGCGUAUGCAACCUACCUAUCAGGAGGGGGAUAACCCGGCGAAAGUCGGACUAAUACCGCAUAAAACAGGGGCACCGCAUGGUGAUAUUUGUUAAAGAUUAAUUGCUGAUAGAUGGGCAUGCGUUCCAUUAGGUAGUUGGUGAGGUAACGGCUCACCAAGCCGACGAUGGAUAGGGGAACUGAGAGGUUGGUCCCCCACACUGGUACUGAGACACGGACCAGACUCCUACGGGAGGCAGCAGUGAGGAAUAUUGGUCAAUGGGCGAGAGCCUGAACCAGCCAAGUCGCGUGAAGGAAGAAGGAUCUAUGGUUCGUAAACUUCUUUUGCAGGGGAAUAAAGUGGAGGACGUGUCCUCUUUUGUAUGUACCCUGAGAAUAAGGAUCGGCUAACUCCGUG
rnacentral:rRNA from 1 species